AAACAAUCAGAGUAGGACUAGGCGUUCAAAGGAGAACCUCUUAUGGCAUGCACGUCGUGACCAUACAAAAUGACAGGUAAUAGAUUGAAUAUUUUCUGACUCAUUUUCAUCAGAUUAUUUCAAAUCAACAUAAAAGAAGCAUUCCGCUGACAAAACUUAUCAUCUAGAAAUCAUUUAAUGUUUGUUUAACAUUAUCAUAUGUAAAUCAUGAAGAAAACAAUUUACAAUGCAUAUUACUUUACUGAUAUAAAGAUCUGAAAUCUGAAUUGACUUUCCCUUUCAACAAAUAUUAUAUACCUAUAGAAUGGAAUUGUACAUUUGUACGAAUGGAACAAAAGAAUUAUGACCCUUUUUGGUAAAAUACUUAGAAAUAUAAAAAUAUGAACUCCAUGCAAACAAAUUUCAUUCGUCCUUUAUUCAUAUAGUUAUAAAAAAAUGCCUUUUACUGAAUUAACCAUUUUAUUUUCAAACGGAACAGAUAUUUUCUAAUCGACGCGAUAUUCCCGGGCUUGUAUUUUCAUCAAGAAUUCCUUGAAAGAGUGUUGUUGUUCAAAGGAAGAGUUUCAAUGGCAAAGUUGAAAUCAUCCCUUCGCAAUUUUUACGGACGCCAUCCCGAAUUGGUUGAUCGUUACGGAAUAUUCGAUUCAUGGAUGCUAUUGGAUGUGUCAUAUAUAUAAUCUCAUUUCCUUUUCACGAAGGUGACCUACCGAUUUAGACUAUUUACCGUGUUUGUUAUAUCAUGAGCAACUCGACUGGUGCCACAUGUGUAGUAGGAACUACUUACCUGUCAUAAGCUCCUGAGAUCACUACCAGUUUGUGUUGGGGUUCGUUCUGCUAAGUCUUUAGUUUUCUAUGUUAUGUCUUGUAUACUAUUUUUUGUCAGUUUGUCUUUUUUUCCUUGUCAGCCAUGGCGUUGUCGGUUUAUUUUCUAUCUAGGAGUUUGAAUGUCCCCCUGGUAUUCGCCCGUCUUUUAUAAAUGUUGUCGUUGACCUCAGAUACAUUUUAUGGAUCAUUUAUAUUUGUAUAUUUUAUAUAGAAAAUUAUAACAUAUAUCUUAUUGACCUAGAUGAGAUCAAUAAUAUUUUUAUUUUUCAUUUCUAAAUCUUGUUAUGGUGGUAACAGUGAAAUUUUAAUUGCUAUUUUGAGCAAAAAAAUCAUAAUUUUACAAUAAAUUCGCCCUCAAGUUUAUUGCUCUUAUUAAUAAUUUUUUCCCAAAAUAGCAGUUAUUCUGAAAUAACAUGACUACCAAAGCAUUAAUAGUCGUUUCUAAAAUUUAUAAGACGUUACAAUUGUAGCUUCAAAUAUUUUGAAGUGACAGGAGAUCCGAUGUGAGAAAUAAGAAAAUAAAAAAUAUGCGGGAGAAAGCCAGAACAGGUUGAUGGACUACUAUCAAUAUUAAUUAUGUCCACCGCUCUUUAAUAAGAAGUUGUCGUGUUAUGUCGUAAACGUAUGUUGAAAAUGCGCGUCUGGCCUAUUAAAUUAUAAUUCUGGUACCUUUGAUAACUAUAUACAGACUAGUCUCAUUUUCAAACUGACCAUUAUUCCAUGCGUUCAUCGUGUAUCGUGCGUGUUGCGUGCGUGUAUCGUGUUUGUUCCAAUUGUGCGCUCAUCAUUCAUCGUUCCGUGUAUUUUCCGUGAAACGUGCGUGCAUCGUUUAUUCUUAAUCGUGUAUCGUGCGUGUAUCGUGCGCUCAUAAAUUCUUCAUUCUUAACCGUGUAUCGUGCGUUCAUCAAUCAUUCAUUCUUAACCGUGUAUCGUGCGCUCGUCAAUCCUUCAUUCUUAACUGUGUAUCGUGUAUAACUGUGUACAUAAGAUAAUGUGCAUCUCUUCAAGUAGACAAACCGUAUUCAAUGAUAAAAAACUAGUUAGCUGAAAUUUCAAAACAUUUUAAUGAAUUGUCUAUUUAAAUUCAGUAUCCUUAGUGUAGUAGCACUUUUUGAUUUACAAAAUAUGUUAAUUAGGAUUACAUGUAUAUCAAAUGCUGACUAACGCAUAAUUACUCUAAUGAAAAUACAUUUGUAUAUAUCUCCUAAGGACCAUUACAAGCAUUUAAAUCUUGUAAGAAAUCUAAGACCCAAACCCGAAAAAUGCUUCUAUUUAGACGUCAGCAAAACGAUUCAGUCUCUCGUGAUUUUUUAAUAGCUUUCUUUUCUGUAAUAAAGUAUGUUUGACAUAUUUCACAAGAGAAUACAUGAUACUACUAAGAACGAGUUUCGUUAGCCAGUCGGUUAUCGAAUUUGACCAUUUUCAUGUUAAAUCAGUAUCACAAAUGGUCGUUACGAAUCGAAUCAAUCAUAUGAUUCCGUAUAUUGGUUCGUUUCAGUCCAUUUUAUUUUCAUCUCACUUUUUACGAAACUAUGCAAGCAUUUUUUGUGUAUUAUAAGUGCACAUAAUAAAUUCCUCGGAUACAUUUUUUCCACAUUUAUAUCAACAAUUUUUCAAGCAGUUGUGUGUUCACAUUACCCUUAUGCUACAUCAAAGACAAAUUUAAAAUAGAUUUUAAGAAAUUGAUAUAGUUAAAUCAAGAUUUUGUAAGGGUUCCGCGGAACCAUAUGUCUCGCCUAAUUUUGCUUUUAGGCAAAGGCAUGGGGAAAAACAUUAUUGACAAUUUUCGUCUAGAUACUAUCCUUUAAAUAUUGUAAAAAAGAGUCUGUUUAAGUUUGGUAAAAAUCUAGGAUGGUUUAUGAAUCUAAGAAAUGUUUUUAAAACUUUAACUGCAGACUGUAGUUAACUGGAAGAAAAACUACGCCCAUUUAUAAGAAGUAAACGGAAAAACAAGAAACAAAUAUUUACAUCAUACAACUUUUAAUGAUAAACAAGCUUCUAUCGAAGUAUGGUUCAAAUCAAGGAUAGUUUAUGACAAAUUUAACCACAGAGUGAAUGUAAUGUUAACUGGCAAAGUCCAUUUAUCAGUAAAAUUCGGAUAAACCACAUUGGUUUUUUUUUUUACAAAAUUUACGUCUUGAUCCUUUUUAUAAACAUACUGAUGCCCAAGUUUAGUAAAAAUCCAGGAAAUUUUAAGAAAGUUAUUAAGAUUUUAAAAACUUUUACCACAGAGUGAAUGUAAUGUUGAUUGACAGAAAAACUGAGACGGUUUAUGAGUUAAUUACAGAUAAAUCCAAUUAUUUUUUUUUUAAAUGUACUUCUUGAUACUUUCAUAUGAUCAUAAACAAGCUUCUGUUCGAGUUUGGUAUAAAUGCUGAAUAGUUUAAGAACGUUAUUAGAAUUUCAAAAUCUUUUACCACAGAUUGGAUAUUUGUGGACGCCGACGAAGGUAAGUAAAACAGCUAUGUCUCGUUUUUUGCGACAAUAGUCGCAGGCUCAAGAAACAUGGUAUAAUCUGCCAACCCUAACAAAGCACCUAACUUAAAUUCUCAAAGAAUGAUUAUGUUUUAGUAAAUGAUUCGUGUGUCUCAGGAUUUAUUGUCUAUAUCGUCGUACUCUGUUUUGACAGUUGUUUGUCUUUUGAUUGCGUUUUAAUUACUUUAUUUUUCUUCUUUGCGUUGUUAGAUUGUCUUCGACUUGUGAGUCUGUUUUUACAGCCAAUAUAGUCAUAGUUAAAGUUCAUUCCUUGUUAAAAUACAUUUACAUCCAACUUCUCAUUGAAGAUGAAUUAGAAUAGAAGUUAUGUGAUGAUAUUAGUAUGGUGAACAAGGUAUAGUAUUCCCUAUGAUAAAUAUCACCUUAAUGAUCUCUUUUUUUCAGACACGGACACAAAAAACAUUUCAUUAGCACUGUAUCGUUAUAUGCGCCAGAACAUAACUGGAACAGAGAAUUAUGUCAAAACACUUAGACUCAUGAAUAAAGUCACGGAUAGUAUGAAAAGCACCGACAAUUUAACUUACAUCACAAAAUAGAGGGACGUGCUCGUGAAAUACUUCUAGAUAAACUGCAUACCAUACAUAGUUACGGAUGGCGAUGCAUCUUUUUUUCAGAUCAGUUAUCUAAGUUUUAUGUAUCUAUGUGGAUGUUACACACCGAAC
rnacentral:lncRNA from 1 species